rnacentral:rRNA from 1 species
UACGGAGGUGGCAAGCGUUGCUCGGAAUCACUGGGCGUAAAGGCGCGUAGGCGGGGAGGUAAGUCGGGUGUGAAAUCCCUCGGCCCAACUGAGGAACUGCGCUCGAGACUGCUUCUCUUGAGUCCCGGAGAGGAAGAUGGAAUUCCCGGUGUAGCGGUGAAAUGUGUAGAGAUCGGGAGGAACACCGGUGGCGAAGGCGGUCUUCUGGACGGUGACUGACGCUGAGGCGCGAAAGCGUGGGGAGCAAACGGG